rnacentral:rRNA from 1 species
CCUACGGGUGGCAGCAGUGAGGAAUAUUGGUCAAUGGCCGAGAGGCUGAACCAGCCACGUCGCGUGAGGGAAGACGGCCCUACGGGUUGUAAACCUCUUUUGCCGGGGAGCAAAGAGAGUCACGUGUGACUCAUUGAGUGUACCCGACGAACAAGCAUCGGCUAACUCCGUGCCAGACGCCGCGGUAAUACGGAGGAUGCGAGCGUUAUCCGGAUUUAUAGGGUGGAAAGGGAGCGUAGACGGCGCGGCAAGUCCGGAGUGAAAGCCCAUGGCUUAACCUUGGUACUGCUCUGGAAACUGUGGAGCUUGAGUGCGGGAGGGGCAGGCGGAAUUCCUAGUGUAGCGGUGAAAUGCGUAGAUAUUAGGAGGAACACCGGCGGCGAAGGCGGCCUGCUGGACCGUAACUGACGUUGAGGCUCGAAAGCGUGGGGAGCAAACAGGAUUAGAUACCCGGGUAGUC